AGGUGCCUGCAGCUUCCUCAUGGCAAGACCUCGAGGGAAGUCCAGAGAGAAAAGGAUUCCUGCAGGUAGCAAAAGCCAAACAGCUCAAGUGCAGCUCAUCCAUAAUUCUUCCUUGGAUCCUUGAGACUUCAGAGGAGACUGGCAAGCCUGAGCCCCAAGUCCUGCAAGCCUCUGAAUAAAAUGGAAUCUGUGGGAAAUGGUCAAAGUCCCGCUGUCCAGUGUCAUCGCAUUGAAAUCCUGCAGUGAUAAUUCUUGUUUCCCCAAAUUUUACAGAUAUGAUCUUGAUAGCCUUCAUGGAGGCGAAGUGAAGAAGACGGGAUUUUCUGUGUGACUUCUUCCCCAUGGGCAGCCUUCCUCGGUUAUCCAAGAAACAGAGAAAUAGCGCCACAUGUGACUUCUGUAUUCCUCUUCCCAGUACAGAGGUAAGGGGAUGUGUGAAAGACCUUGUGUGCAUCUAGAU
rnacentral:lncRNA from 1 species